rnacentral:rRNA from 1 species
UGCUUCAGCACUUCAUCAGUCUUGCCUGGCCCCUGAAGUUAAGCAGGAUCAUGCCUGGUUAGAAUUUGAGAGGAGACUGGUUGGGAAUAUCAGGUGCUGAAGGCA